rnacentral:rRNA from 1 species
UACGUAGGGGGCAAGCGUUGUCCGGAUUUAUUUGGCGUAAAGAGCGUGUAGGCGGCCACACAGGUCUGCUGUGAAAACUCGAGGCUCAACCUCGAGCUGUCGGUGGAAACCGUGUGGCUAGAGUCCGGAAGAGGAGAGUGGAAUUCCCGGUGUAGCGGUGAAAUGCGCAGAUAUCGGGAAGAACACCCGUGGCGAAGGCGGCUCUCUGGGCCGUGACUGACGCUGAGGAGCGAAAGCGUGGGGAGCAAACAGG